GAUGAACGCUGCGGCGUGCUAAUACAUGCAAGUAGAACGCUGAAGGAGGAGCUUGCUUCUCUGGAUGAGUUGCGAACGGGUGAGUAACGCGUAGGUAACCUGCCUGGUAGCGGGGGAUAACUAUUGGAAACGAUAGCUAAUACCGCAUAAGAGUAGAUGUUGCAUGACAUAUGCUUAAAAGGUGCAAUUGCAUCACUACCAGAUGGACUGCGUUGUAUUAGCUAGUUGGUGAGGUACGGCUCACCAAGGCAACGAUACAUAGCCGACCUGAGAGGGUGAUCGGCCACACUGGGACUGAGACACGGCCCAGAUCCUACGGGAGGCAGCAGUAGGGAAUCUUCGGCAAUGGACGGAAGUCUGACCGAGCAACACCGCGUGAGUGAAGAAGGUUUUCGGAUCGUAAAGCUCUGUUGUAAGAGAAGAACGAGUGUGAGAGUGGAAAGUUCACACUGUGACGGUAUCUUACCAGG
rnacentral:rRNA from 1 species